rnacentral:rRNA from 1 species
UACGUAGGGUGCAAGCGUUGUCCGGAUUUAUUGGGCGUAAAGAGCUCGUAGGCGGCUUAGAAAGUCAGGUGUGAAAACUCUGGGCUCAACCCAGAGACGCCACUUGAUACUUCUAUGGCUUGAGUUCGGUAGGGGACCAUGGAAUUCCUGGUGUAGCGGUGAAAUGCGCAGAUAUCAGGAGGAACACCGAUGGCGAAGGCGGGACUCUGGGCCGAUACUGACGCUGAGGAGCGAAAGCGUGGGGAGCAAACAGG